CAGUAGCCGCGGUAAUACAGAGGGUGCGAGCGUUAAUCGGAUUUACUGGGCGUAAAGCGUGCGUAGGCGGCUUCUUAAGUCGGAUGUGAAAUCCCUGAGCUUAACUUAGGAAUUGCAUUCGAUACUGGGAAGCUAGAGUAUGGGAGAGGAUGGUAGAAUUCCAGGUGUAGCGGUGAAAUGCGUAGAGAUCUAGAGGAAUACCGAUGGCGAAGGCAGCCAUCUGGCCUAAUACUGACGCUGAGGUACGAAAGCAUGGGGAGCAAACAGGAUUAGAUACCCCAGUAGUCCCUGUCUCUUAUAC
rnacentral:rRNA from 1 species